rnacentral:rRNA from 1 species
UACGUAGGUGGCAAGCGUUGUCCGGAUUUAUUGGGUUUAAAGGGCGCGUAGGCGGCCUUCUAAGUCGAACGUGAAAUCCCCGGGCUCAACCCGGGAACUGCGUCCGAUACUGGAAGGCUUGAAUCCGGGAGAGGGAUGCGGAAUUCCAGGUGUAGCGGUGAAAUGCGUAGAUAUCUGGAGGAACACCGGUGGCGAAGGCGGCAUCCUGGACCGGCAUUGACGCUGAGGCGCGAAAGCCAGGGGAGCAAACGGG